UCCCAAUUCCCCAAUUCCCAAUUCCCCAAUUCCCAAUUCCCAAAUUCCCCAAUUCCCAAAUUCCCGCCCCAAAUUCCUGCCCCAAAUUCCCCAAUUUCCCAAUUCCCCAAUUCCCAAUUCCCUCCCCAAAUUCCCAAUUCCCAAAUUCCCAAAUUCCCCAAAUCCCCAAUUCCCCAAUUCCCAAUUCCCCAAUUCCCAAUUCCCAAAUUCCCACCCCCAAAUUCCUGAAUUCCCAAAUUCCCAAUCCCCAAAUUCCAGCCCCAAAUUCCCCAAUUCCCCAAUCCCCCAAUUCCCCAAUUCCCAAAUUCCCAGUCCCCAAAUUCCCAAUUCUCAAUUCCCAAAUCCCCAAUUCCCAAAUUCCCAAUUCCCAAAUCCCCAAUUCCCAAAUUCCCCAAAUUCCCUCCCCAAAUUCUCAAAUUCCCUCCCCAAAUUCCCAAAGAAUUCCAUCCCCAAAAUUCCCAAAUUCCUGAAUUCCAUCCCCAAAAUUCCCAAAUUCCCCCCUCAAAUUCCCAAAUUCCCACCCCAAAUCCCCCAAAUUUCCUUCUCAAAUUCUGAAAUUCCCUCCCAAAAUUCCCUCCUCAAAUUCCCAGGGCAUUCCCAAAUUCCCACAGACUCUCCUUCUCCCACCCCAAAUUCCCAUUUUUUCCCCCUGAAUUCCCAUUGUUUUUCCUGUUUUCCCCCAAAUUCCCAUUUUUUCCCCAUUUUCCCCAAAAUUCCCAUUUUUCCUCUAUUUUCCCCCAAAUUCCCAUUUUUUCCCCGUUUUCCCCCCAAAAAUCCCAUUUUUCCCCAUUUUCCCCCAAAUUCCCAUUUUUCCUCUAUUUUCCCCCCCAAAAUCCCAUUUUUCCUCUAUUUUCCCCAUAAAAUUCCCAUUUUUUCUCUAUUUUCCCCCCAAAAAUCCCAUUUUUUCCCCAUUUUCCCCCUGAAUUCCCAUUUUUUCCCCAUUUCCCCCAAAUUCCCAUUGUUUUCCCCAUUUCCCCCAAAAUUCCCACUUUUUCCCCAUUUUCCCCCCAAAUUCCAUUUUUUCCCUGUUCACCCUCAUUUCUCCCCAAAUUCCCCAUUUUUUUCCUAUUUCCUCACCCAAAUUCCCAUUUUUCCCCAUUUUUCCCAUUUUCCCCCAUUUUUCCCACCGUUUUUCCCUGAUUUUCCCUGGAUUUUCCCCAUUUUUUCCCAUUUUUCCCAUUUUUUCCCCAUUUUCCCCAUUUUUCCCAUUUUUCCCCGUUUCCCAUUCCCGGUGUCAUUCCCGGUGUUUUCCCUCAUUCCCGGUGUUUCCCCUUCAUUCCCGGUGUUUUCCCCUUCAUUCCCGGUGUUUUCCCCUUCAUUCCCGGUGGUUUCCCCUUCAUUCCCGGUGUUUCCCCUUCAUUCCCGGUGUUUUCCCUCAUUCCCGGUGUUUUCCCUCAUUCCCGGUGUUUUCCCCUUCAUUCCCGGUGUUUUCCCCCUCAUUCCCGGUGUUUUCCCUCAUUCCCGGUGUUUUCCCUCAUUCCCGGUGUUUUCCCUCAUUCCUGGUGUUGUCUCAGCCUCGCUGACACUGGUGGACCUGGCGGGCUCGGCUGUUCCCGGUGUCAUUCCCGGUGUCAUUCCCGGUGUCAUUCCUGGUGUUUUUCCCUCAUUCCUGGUCUCAUUCCCGGUGUUUCUCAUUCCCAUUCGCGGUGUUUUCCCCUUCAUUCCCGGUGUCAUUCCCGGUGUUUUCCCUCAUUCCCGGUGUUGUCUCAGCCUCGCUGACUCUGGUGGACCUGGCGGGCUGGGCUGUUCACGGUGUCAUUCCCGGUGUCAUUCCCGGUGUUUCUCUUUCCCAUUCCCGGUGUUUCUCUUUCCCAUUCCCGGUGUUUCUCUUUCCCAUUCCCGGUGUUUCUCAUUCCCAUUCCCGGUGUUUUCCCUCAUUCCCGGUGUUGUUUGCCCUCAUUCCCGGUGCCAUUCCCGGUGUUUUCCCUCAUUCCCGGUGUUUUCCCUCAUUCCCGGUGUUGGCUCAGCCUCGCUGACUCUGGUGGACCUGGCGGGCUCGGAGCGCCUGGAGAAGUCGGGAUCGGUCGGGAAUCGGCUGCGGGAGACGCAGACAAUGGGAUCAAUGGGAUCAAUGGGGAUCAAUGGGAUCAAUGGGAUCAAUGGGGCAUCAACUCCAGCCUCAGCGCCCUGGGGCUCGUCAUCAGCGCCCUCUGCAACAAGGUACCGGAUCAAUCCGGGAAUGAUGGGAUCAAUGGGAUCAAUGGGGAUCAAUGGGGAUCAAUGGGAUCAAUGGGGAUCAAUGGGGAUCAAUGGGGAUCAAUGGGGAUCAAUGGGAUCAAUGGGGAUCAAUGGGGAUCAAUGGGGAUCAAUGGGGAUCAAUGGGAUCAAUGGGGAUCAAUGGGGAUCAAUGGGGAUCAAUGGGAUCAGGAUCAAUGGGAUCAAUGGGGAUCAAUGGGGAUCAAUCGGAUCAAUGGGGAUCAAUGGGGAUCAAUGGGAUCAAUGGGGAUCAAUGGGAUCAAUGGGAUCAAUGGGAUCAAUGGGAUCAAUGGGGAUCAAUGGGGAUCAAUCGGAUCAAUGGGGAUCAAUGGGAUCAAUGGGAUCAAUGGGGAUCAAUAGGCUCAAUGUGAUCACUGGGAUCAAUGGGAUCAAUGGGGAUCAAUGGGAUCAGGAUCAAUGUGAUCAAUGGGAUCAGGAUCAAUAGGAUCAGGAUAAAUGGGGAUCAAUGGGAUCAGGAUCAAUGUGAUUAAUAGGAUCAGGAUCAAUGGGAUUGGGAUCAAUAGGCUCAGGAUCAAUGUGAUCAAUGGGAUCAAUGGGAUCAAUAGGAUCAUUAUCAAUGGGAUCAGGAUCACUGUGAUCAAUGGGAUCAAUGGGAUCAAUGGGAUCAUUAUCAAUAGGAUCAGGAUCAAUGGGAUCGGGAUCAAUAGGCUCAGGAUCAAUGUGAUCAAUGUGAUCGAUGGGAUCAAUAGGAUCAUUAUCAAUGGGAUCAGGAUCAAUGUGAUCAAUAGGAUCAGGAUCAAUAGGCUCAGGAUCAAUGUGAUCAAUGGGAUCAAUGUGAUCAAUAGGAUCAUUAUCAAUGUGAUCAGGAUCACUGUGAUCAGUGGGAUCAGCGGCCCCAGGGCAUUCCCGGGAUUUGGGGGAUCCCUGGAGUUUGGGAAUGGGGGAUGGGAGGAUCCAUCGGCCCCGGCGCCCUCGGGGCUGGCGGGGAAACGCCCCAGGUUG
ensembl:lncRNA